GAUGGCAGUUGUGGUGUAAGGAUGCUGAAAGAGAUUGCCAUGCUAGAAAGUAUACCUGCUUUAAUCAUUGAAAGGUGGAAAAAGCAUGUGAUGCUGAUUGAAUGUGACCGCUGAACUGUAUCAAGAGAAAUGCCAUCAGAAUUUCCUCUGCUUCCUGGACUUGGUGUUUGUUUUAUGUACAGACAAAUUGUGACUUUAAGGAAUUUUAGAAGAGCUAUGACCAUGGCAAACAUUUAUUUAUUGUAAUGUAUAUGACUAUACAAUGAGUGGUAAGACUUUUAAAGCUCAAAUGCAGAGCUUAAUGCUUGACUGUGUAUGAACGUCUUGGGUUUCACAUAAUCUGCUCUGGUUUUUGCUCUUUCAAAUCCUACACUUUCCUGGGCAUUGUAUAAGAAACUGUUUACUUCACUGUGGCAUUUGGUGAGGUUAAACAUUUUGGCAUCUGUGAUUUUUAGAUCUGAAUUUCUGAGGAGCCAUGCACCAAAAGAAGUAUAACUGCACCCAUAGACCAAUUGUACAGCUGCUUGUUGGCUGUUAACGCUGACUUCACCUUUCCACUCAAAGUGUCACAUUU